GGGCGAUUAGCUCAGCCUGGGGAGAGCACUUGACUUACAUUCAAGGGGUCAGAGGUUCAAAUCCUCUAUCGCCCA
rnacentral:tRNA from 1 species